rnacentral:rRNA from 1 species
GACGAACGCUGGCGGCGUGCUUAACACAUGCAAGUCGAACGGAAAGGCCCUGCUUUUGUGGGGUGCUCGAGUGGCGAACGGGUGAGUAACACGUGAGUAACCUGCCCUUGACUUUGGGAUAACUUCAGGAAACUGGGGCUAAUACCGGAUAGGAGCUCCUGCUGCAUGGUGGGGGUUGGAAAGUUUCGGCGGUUGGGGAUGGACUCGCGGCUUAUCAGCUUGUUGGUGGGGUAGUGGCUUACCAAGGCUUUGACGGGUAGCCGGCCUGAGAGGGUGACCGGCCACAUUGGGACUGGGAUACGGGCCAGGCUUCUACGGGGGGGAGGAGUGGGGAAUAUUGCACCAUGGGCGGAAGCCUGAUGCAGCAACGCCGCGUGCGGGAUGACGGCCUUCGGGUUGUAAACCGCUUUCGCCUGUGACGAAGCGUGAGUGACGGUAAUGGGUAAAGAAGCACCGGCUAACUACGUG